rnacentral:rRNA from 1 species
CUCUCGGCAACGGAUAUCUAGGCUCUCGCAUCGAUGAAGAACGUAGCAAAAUGCGAUACUUGGUGUGAAUUGCAGAAUCCCGCGAAUCAUCGAGUUUUUGAACGCAAGUUGCGCCCGAAGCCUUUCGGCCGAGGGCACGUCUGCCUGGGUGUCACGCAUCGUUGC